CCUAACACAUGCAAGUCGAACGGUAACAGGAAGAAGCUUGCUUCUUUGCUGACGAGUGGCGGACGGGUGAGUAAUGUCUGGGAAACUGCCUGAUGGAGGGGGAUAACUACUGGAAACGGUAGCUAAUACCGCAUAACGUCGCAAGACCAAAGAGGGGGACCUUCGGGCCUCUUGCCAUCGGAUGUGCCCAGAUGGGAUUAGUUAGUAGGUGGGGUAACGGCUCACCUAGGCGACGAUCCCUAGCUGGUCUGAGAGGAUGACCAGCCACACUGGAACUGAGACACGGUCCAGACUCCUACGGGAGGCAGCAGUGGGGAAUAUUGCACAAUGGGCGCAAGCCUGAUGCAGCCAUGCCGCGUGUAUGAAGAAGGCCUUCGGGUUGUAAGAG
rnacentral:rRNA from 1 species